UUAGAUUACUGUAUUCUCACUUUUCCAUGGCUAGUACCCCCCAGACCAGUCUGUAGCAAUCUGUAUACUUCGUAUACUUCUGUUAUCUCAAAGAUUCUGAAAAAUUACGACAGUUUGGGCAAUUGGCAAAUCAACCAGCAUCAAAAGGAAUCAACUCAAAAUCUCUUUCUGGAUAAAAAUGAAAAAUAAUUUCGUGAGCGAAAAGUUUCUCUCUUUUUCCAGCAGGAUCAAACAACCAUCACCAAACUAGUCAUAAAGGUUUUACUUGGCU
rnacentral:lncRNA from 1 species